UGAAGAACGCAGCGAAAUGCGAUACGUAGUGUGAAUUGCAGAAUUCAGUGAAUCAUCGAAUCUUUGAACGCACAUUGCGCCCUUUGGUAUUCCAAAGGGCAUGCCUGUUCGAGCGUCAUUUGUACCCUCAAGCUUUGCUUGGUGUUGGGCGUCUUGU
rnacentral:rRNA from 1 species